rnacentral:rRNA from 1 species
UAGCGACAAAGAGGGUGAGAGACCCUCUCGCCGAAAAUCCAAGGGUUCCUGCGUAAAGCUAAUCUGCGCAGGGUUAGUCGGCCCCUAAGGCGAGGGCGAAAGCCGUAGUCGAUGGGAACCACGUUAAUAUUCGUGGGCCAGAUGGUAGUGACGAAUCCCGUGUGUUGUGUCCCCUUAUUGGAUUGGGGGUGCAGCGAAGGGGUUCCAGGAAAUAGCUCCAUCAUUAGACCGUACCCGAAACCGACACAGGUGGACAGGUAGAGCAUACCAAGGCGCUUGAGAGAACUCUGCUGAAGGAACUCGGCAAAUUA